rnacentral:rRNA from 1 species
CCUACGGGAGGCAGCAGUGGGGAAUAUUGGACAAUGGGGGAAACCCUGAUGCAGCGAAGCCGCGUGAGUGAAGAAGGAAUUCGGUACGUAAAGCUCUAUCAGCAGGGAAGAAAAUGACGGUACCUGAGUAAGAAGCCGCGGCUAACUACGUGCAAGCAGCCGCGGUAAUACGCAGGGGGCAAGCGUUAUCCGGAUUUACUGGGUGUAAAGGGAGCGUAGACGGUGCGCCAAGUCUGGAGUUAAAUGCCGCAGCUUAACUGCGGAACUGCUUUUGAAACUGGCGAACUAGAGUGCGCGAGGGGUAAGCGGAAUGCCCAGUGUAGCGGUGAAAUGCGUAGAUAUCAGGCGGAACACCGGUGGCGAAGGCGGCUUACUGGACCCAAACUGACGUUGAGGCUCGAAAGCGUGGGGAGCAAACAGGAUUAGAUACCCCUGUAGUC